rnacentral:lncRNA from 1 species
CCGAAUGAGAUGCUGUGGCAUGACCUCAAGAAAGCGAUUCACACCAGACAUCCCAAGAAUAUUGCUGAACUGAAACUGUUCUGUAAAGAGGAAUGGUCAAGAAUUACUCCUGACCGUUGUGCACGUCUGAUCUGCAACUACAGGAAACGUUUGGUUGAAGUUAUUGCUGCCAAAGGAGGUUCAACCAGUUAUUAAAUUCAAGGGUUCACAUACUUUUUCCACCUGCACUG